GCGCGAUAGCUCAGUUGGUAGAGCAGUGGCCUCGUAAUCCAGUAACCCGGGUUCGAAACCAAGUCGAUGCG
rnacentral:tRNA from 1 species